rnacentral:lncRNA from 1 species
GAAGGAGAGAUUUCCCAUGAAGUUUUAUACGUACGUACAUACAUACAUAGGAUAAAAGCAUGAUCACGGUAACAGGACUUGAUGCUUUGUAUUCAAUAGACUACCGUCCUUAUAUACUUCCUGGAUUUGAUUCUCCGUGAGAAAGGCGUGAGCCCACAAAUAUUUGCAUGUCUAUCAAUCACAUCUCUCCGUGGAGACAUGGGUACCCAGUUAUGAUGUUUGAUUGAUAAUGUCAACAAAUAUGAUUCAGUGCAUGAAGACAGCUAGGCAGACGAGGAAAG